GGGAGGGAGCGAGUUUGGGGGUCGUGGUGGAGGGGUUUUAUGGCUAGCGCCGGGGCGAGGGCUGUCUGGGAGCAGUUCCCCUUGGCUGGGCAAAGGGAGCGGGUUACAUGUCACCACGAUGCUAGACCGGGCAGGGCAGUUGCAGCCUGUGUUAUGUCUGCGUGUCUCGUCCUGUGUGUCUUAGCCCUUCCUUGGGUCUCAACGCCCUCUUGGCGCUCGAGGGGCAUGGCAUGCUUCUCGGGCGCCGUCCCUAGGCUCUCGAACGCCGGUACUUGUCAGCGUACCGCCAAUCGGGCGCUUCUUUUCUCGCAUAGCGAGAUUACGGCGUGGAUCAUUCUUGCGUGUCGGAAGUUUCUGGAGGGUCCUCUAUUUGCAGCGCUAUACCAGGCUGCGUUCGGAGCUCUGCUCUCCAGCUAUCCGUUUUCAGGGACUGGGUCUUCCUCCCUGCAUCCUUACCUCCUUAGGUCUUGAAGACGGGCUUCUUGCUGCCCCCAUCAUCUCGGUUUUGACAGUAACUUCUUAUAACGGGCCAUUUACGGUCAAUUCUCUUCUGGGGUUGCCAUAGAGCUUCCUCACCUGGGUGUCGUGCCCUAUAGGUCGCCUUGCUCGGCAGCCUCUCCGGUCCGGGAGUCAUUCCUCUCGCUAAGAGUGUUCUCUCGUUUGUGAGUUGCGUUGUUUGUAGCGUUCUGUGUAGCGUCUGUCUCUGUGUGUGGUGUGUGUGUGUGGAGCUGCUCUGCCCAGGGCUGUCGAGUCGGGGAUAGGCGGAAUAGCAAUAGGAGCGUACGGUUAGCGUGCCGAUACGGCCAGUCCGGAAUUGUUUGGCUCUCACUCGGCAUCUGGGUGACUUGUUUGAUAACUCGGUGUGAUUUUUCCAGAUGCGGACUGGCUAGAUGCCCACCGACGAGCGGCAGAGGAGGAGAGCAGAGCGCCGUAAGAAGGUGGCGGUCAGGCCUCGGCACGGCAGGCCGAAGAAUCCGACUCCGAGCGGCCGAGGAAAAGGGACAGGCGAGAGGAAGGCGUUUCCAAGGAGGGCUUCGUCGCAGCGGAGGUCGACGCCGGGCGGCACGUCGGCGACCGGCGACGCUCUGUCUCGUGAGGGAUGAAGCGGAACCUGGGGGAUGGGGGAGCAUCCCGGUUAGAUGACCUUUUCCCCAUGAGAAGGGAAUCUGGAUUCUGCCCUCUGAAAGCCCCGACCAACUGCACAACAAGCCUUGUUAAGGGCCAGUCGGCACACAAUACCUGACUUAGUCCCACCUCGCCAAAAGUAUAAAUCUGGCAUUCAGAAUCCUCUUUUUUGAGGACGAGAACUCCAACUAUCUGGACAGGUUGACGGGCCUGGACCUCUCUCUCUCCUCCCCAAGCAGGGACGCCUCUUUGGUGCCACGGCACGAUUUGGAUUCCCGCACGACAGCCUCGAGUGAGGUUUUUGUGGAGUAUCCAAGCAACAGCGAAGGAGCGGUGCAGUUAGCAAGGCAUCUUCCCUGGUCCCUGCCUAUGAGCGCUAACUCUACAGAGUCAGGCGGAGCGGCGAUGCUGACUUAAGGGACAGGGCAGGGAAUCAGAGUAGCUAUCCAGGUGACUGCAAGCUGCACGUGUUUGGCCAGGGGUUGGAAUCAGAGGAUCCAGAUUCCAUUGUAGUAGAAAGCUCUGGAACGAGAAAAAUGUUAAGCGAAGCAGGAGAGAUUGACUGUCAAUGUGC